rnacentral:rRNA from 1 species
UACAGAGACUGCGAGCGUUAUUCGGAUUCACUGGGCGUAAAGGGUGCGCAGGUGGCCAGGUGUGUGAGGCGUGAAAGCCCGGGGCUUAACCCCGGAAUUGCACCUCAAACUACUUGGCUAGAGCAUUGGAGAGGGGAGCAGAAUUCAUGGUGUAGCAGUGAAAUGCGUAGAUAUCAUGAGGAAUACCAGAGGCGAAGGCGGCUCCCUGGACAAUUGCUGACACUCAGGCACGAAAGCGUGGGAGCAAAGG